AUGGACAGGCUUCUGUCCCCAGUAGGUGCAUCUCCCAUUCCCAGUGGAUGCACCUCCCAUCCCCAAUGGACAAACCUCCAUCCCCAAUGGAUGUACCUCCCAUCCCCAAUGGACAAACCUCCAUCCCCAAUGGAUGUACCUCCCGUCCCCAAUGGAUGUACCUCCUUUCCCCAAACAGACACACCUCCCAUCCCCAAUGGACAGAUCUCCCGUCCCCAAUGGACACACCUCCUGUUCCCAAUGGGCACAUCUCUGUUUCCAGUGGAUGCACCUCCCACCCCUCCAUCCCUAACGGACAGAUCUCCAUCUCCAGUGGACAGAUCUCCAUCUCUAAUGGAAGAUCUCCAUCCCCAGUGGACAGAUCUCUGUCCCCAAUGGAAGAUCUCCGUCCCCAAUGGAAGAUCUCCAUCCCCAACGGACAGAUCUCCACCGGAGGCCCUUUGGGACUCUCUCCGCACUACGAUUCCAAGGACCGCAGCCCCAAAAGGAACAAAGCAUCCCCUCCGUUACCACCACCACCGGUGCGGACCACCUCCGGCCGAGCUCAGCGUUCUUCCACCCCCUCGAGGAAGCUCUGCCCGACCCCUCCGUCCCCCCGCAGCCUUUUCGGACCGGCUGACAGCGGCGUCCCGCAGCUUCCCCCCCCCUUUUCCCGGUACUCACCUCCCCGAGGGGCCGCGGGCAGGCAGGGCUCAGCCCGCCGCCGGGUACUCCAUGCGGCGCCGCCGGGGGCCCUCCGUGCUCGAGGUGGGGAGGGGGGGGGAGGGAAAAGACGGGGGGGGACGGAAGGGGCGGAGGAAGGCGAGCGGCAGCCCGGCGGCUCCCAGCCCCGAGGAAGAGGCGGCCGCGGCCGCUCGUAGCCGGGGGAGCCGCGUCGGGAUGGGGGGAGAAGGGAACGGAGCGGCCGCGGCCCGGGAUGCGGGGGGAGAGCGGGGCCGGGCGGUGCGGGGGAAGGGGGAGGAGGGAGCGGGGAGCGGGGCGCGGGCCGGCGCGGCCGGGGCCUGCUGGAAGGAAGCGGCGGCCGGAAUCGGAGCGCCCCGAACAGCGCGCCUGCGCCGUGCGGCUCCGCAGCGCCCCCUGGUGGGGGGAAGGGAGAGCGGCGGUUUUCGGGGUGCGGGGAGGUGCGGGAUGGGGCUGGGAAAGGGGUGA
rnacentral:lncRNA from 1 species